rnacentral:rRNA from 1 species
AGAGUUUGAUCCUGGCUCAGGAUGAACGCUGGCGGCGUGCUUAACACAUGCAAGUCGAACGAUGAUGCCAGCUUGCUGGUGGAUUAGUGGCGAACGGGUGAGUAACACGUGAGUAACCUGCCCUUGACUCUGGGAUAAGCCUGGGAAACUGGGUCUAAUACCGGAUAUGACCUUCCAUCGCAUGGUGGUUGGUGGAAAGCUUUUGUGGUUUUGGAUGGACUCGCGGCCUAUCAGCUUGUUGGUGGGGUAAUGGCCUACCAAGGCGACGACGGGUAGCCGGCCUGAGAGGGUGACCGGCCACACUGGGACUGAGACACGGCCCAGACUCCUACGGGAGGCAGCAGUGGGGAAUAUUGCACAAUGGGCGAAAGCCUGAUGCAGCGACGCCGCGUGAGGGAUGACGGCCUUCGGGUUGUAAACCUCUUUCAGUAGGGAAGAAGCGUAAGUGACGGUACCUGCAGAAGAAGCGCCGGCUAACUACGUGCCAGCAGCCGCGGUAAUAC